AUUGAACGCUGGCGGCAGGCCUAACACAUGCAAGUCGAGCGGAUGAAGUGAGCUUGCUCCUGGAUUCAGCGGCGGACGGGUGAGUAAUGCCUAGGAAUCUGCCUGGUAGUGGGGGAUAACUUCCGGAAACGGGCGCUAAUACCUCAUACGUCCUGAGGGAGAUAGUGGGGGAUCUUCGGACCUCACGCUAUCAGUUUAGCCUAGGUCGGAUUAGCUAGUUGGUGGGGUAAAGGCCUACCAAGGCGACGAUCCGUAACUGGUCUGAGAGGAUGAUCAGUCACACUGGAACUGAGAAACGGUCCAGACUCCUACGGGAGGCAGCAGUGGGGAAUAUUGGACAAUGGGCGAAAGCCUGAUCCAGCCAGGCCGCGUGUGUGAAGAAGGGCUUCGGAUUGUAAAGCACUUUAAGUUGGGAGGAAGGGAAGUAAGUUAAUACCUUGCUGUGUUGACGUUACCAACAGAAUAAGCACCGGCUAACUUCGUG
rnacentral:rRNA from 1 species